UGUGGCUGAUCACAACAAACUCUUAACGUCCUAAACUCGUAGAGAUGACUCUCGUUCAUCCGACACAAGGAUAAUAGCGCUAUAAAAGAAACCCAAAUUUUUUGGUCAGCACUUCCAAGAGGCUUAAAAAUUGUCCUUGGAGAGAUGCUCGGUUCCAACCAUACAAGUCGUAUAAGCCAAGAACCUAUCGCAGACUUUAAUUCGGUAUGGAAUCAGGAUGAAACUGAAAUGGGAUACAUACGUCGAAUUAGUCAUCGCACCCUCUAAAAC
rnacentral:lncRNA from 1 species